rnacentral:snRNA from 1 species
GUGUUCCCUUCAACAGCCCAGAUACAAUCAUUGGAAUGAUGCAGAAGAGAUUCACAGGGACCCUAGGCAAGGAGGCCAAACACAUUCAUGAAGUCUUCCCUAACUUA